GCAAGGUUAAGCAGUAAAUGUGGAGCCGUAGCGAAAGCGAGUCUGAAUAGGGCGUUUAGUAUUUGGUCGUAGACCCGAAGCCAGGUGAUCUACCCUUGGUCAGGUUGAAGUUCAGGUAACACUGAAUGGAGGACCGAACCGACUUACGUUGAAAAGUGAGCGGAUGAACUGAGGGUAGCGGAGAAAUUCCAAUCGAACCUGGAGAUAGCUGGUUCUCUCCGAAAUAGCUUUAGGGCUAGCCUCAAGUGAUGAUUAUUGGAGGUAGAGCACUGUUUGGACGAGGGGCCCCUCUCGGGUUACCGAAUUCAGACAAACUCCGAAUGCCAAUUAAUUUAACUUGGGAGUCAGAACAUGGGUGAUAAGGUCCGUGUUCGAAAGGGAAACAGCCCAGACCACCAGCUAAGGUCCCAAAAUAUAUGUUAAGUGGAAAAGGAUGUGGCGUUGCCCAGACAACUAGGAUGUUGGCUUAGAAGCAGCCAUCAUUUAAAGAGUGCGUAAUAGCUCACUAGUCGAGUGACACUGCGCCGAAAAUGUACCGGGGCUAAACAUAUUACCGAAGCUGUGGAUUGUCCUUUGGACAAUGGUAGGAGAGCGUUCUAAGGGCGUUGAAGCAUGAUCGUAAGGACAUGUGGAGCGCUUAGAAGUGAGAAUGCCGGUGUGAGUAGCGAAAGACGGGUGAGAAUCCCGUCCACCGAUUGACUAAGGUUUCCAGAGGAAGGCUCGUCCGCUCUGGGUUAGUCGGGUCCUAAGCUGAGGCCGACAGGCGUAGGCGAUGGAUAACAGGUUGAUAUUCCUGUACCACCUAUAAUCGUUUUAAUCGAUGGGGGGACGCAGUAGGAUAGGCGAAGCGUGCGAUUGGAUUGCACGUCUAAGCAGUAAGGCUGAGUAUUAGGCAAAUCCGGUACUCGUUAAGGCUGAGC
rnacentral:rRNA from 1 species